UGAGAGCCGCAGCUACACAUGCAGUCGAGCGGUAGCACAGAGAGCUUGCUCUCGGGUGACGAGCGGCGGACGGGUGAGUAAUGUCUGGGAAACUGCCUGAUGGAGGGGGAUAACUACUGGAAACGGUAGCUAAUACCGCAUAACGUCGCAAGACCAAAGUGGGGGACCUUCGGGCCUCAUGCCAUCAGAUGUGCCCAGAUGGGAUUAGCUAGUAGGUGGGGUAAUGGCUCACCUAGGCGACGAUCCCUAGCUGGUCUGAGAGGAUGACCAGCCACACUGGAACUGAGACACGGUCCAGACUCCUACGGGAGGCAGCAGUGGGGAAUAUUGCACAAUGGGCGCAAGCCUGAUGCAGCCAUGCCGCGUGUAUGAAGAAGGCCUUCGGGUUGUAAAGUACUUUCAGCGAGGAGGAAGGCGUUAAGGUUAAUAACCUUGGCGAUUGACGUUACUCGCAGAAGAAGCACCGGCUAACUCCGUGCCAGCAGCCGCGGUAAUACGGAGGGUGCAAGCGUUAAUCGGAAUUACUGGGCGUAAAGCGCACGCAGGCGGUCUGUCAAGUCGGAUGUGAAAUCCCCGGGCUCAACCUGGGAACUGCAUUCGAAACUGGCAGGCUAGAGUCUUGUAGAGGGGGGUAGAAUUCCAGGUGUAGCGGUGAAAUGCGUAGAGAUCUGGAGGAAUACCGGUGGCGAAGGCGGCCCCCUGGACAAAGACUGACGCUCAGGUGCGAAAGCGUGGGGAGCAAACAGGAUUAGAUACCCUGGUAGUCCACGCCGUAAACGAUGUCGACUUGGAGGUUGUGCCCUUGAGGCGUGGCUUCCGGAGCUAACGCGUUAAGUCGACCGCCUGGGGAGUACGGCCGCAAGGUUAAAACUCAAAUGAAUUGACGGGGGCCCGCACAAGCGGUGGAGCAUGUGGUUUAAUUCGAUGCAACGCGAAGAACCUUACCUACUCUUGACAUCCAGAGAACUUAGCAGAGAUGCUUUGGUGCCUUCGGGAACUCUGAGACAGGUGCUGCAUGGCUGUCGUCAGCUCGUGUUGUGAAAUGUUGGGUUAAGUCCCGCAACGAGCGCAACCCUUAUCCUUUGUUGCCAGCGGUUCGGCCGGGAACUCAAAGGAGACUGCCAGUGAUAAACUGGAGGAAGGUGGGGAUGACGUCAAGUCAUCAUGGCCCUUACGAGUAGGGCUACACACGUGCUACAAUGGCAUAUACAAAGAGAAGCGACCUCGCGAGAGCAAGCGGACCUCAUAAAGUAUGUCGUAGUCCGGAUUGGAGUCUGCAACUCGACUCCAUGAAGUCGGAAUCGCUAGUAAUCGUAGAUCAGAAUGCUACGGUGAAUACGUUCCCGGGCCUUGUACACACCGCCCGUCACACCAUGGGAGUGGGUUGCAAAAGAAGUAGGUAGCUUAACCUUCGGGAGGGCGCUACCACUUGAUCGUGCCG
rnacentral:rRNA from 1 species